rnacentral:rRNA from 1 species
GAUGAACGCUGGCGGCGUGCCUAAUACAUGCAAGUCGAGCGGCAGCACGGGAGCAAUCCUGGUGGCGAGUGGCGAACGGGUGAGUAAAGUAUCGGAACGUGCCCAGUCGUGGGGGAUAACGUAGCGAAAGUUACGCUAAUACCGCAUACGAUCUAUGGAUGAAAGCGGGGGAUCGCAAGACCUCGCGCGAUUGGAGCGGCCGAUAUCAGAUUAGGUAGUUGGUGGGGUAAAGGCUCACCAAGCCGACGAUCUGUAGCUGGUCUGAGAGGACGACCAGCCACACUGGGACUGAGACACGGCCCAGACUCCUACGGGAGGCAGCAGUGGGGAAUCUUGGACAAUGGGCGCAAGCCUGAUCCAGCCAUGCCGCGUGCAGGAUGAAGGCCUUCGGGUUGUAAACUGCUUUUGUACGGAACGAAAAGGUUUGACUUAAUACGUUGGACUCAUGACGGUACCGUAAGAAUAAGCACCGGCUAACUACGUGCCAGCAGCCGCGGUAA